GCUGAGCCAGAUGACCAAUGGCAUCAAAGAGCUGGGCCCCUACACCCUGGACCGGAACAGUCUCUACGUCAAUGGUUUCACCCAUCGGAGCUCUGGGUCCACCACCAGCACUCCUUGGACUUCCACAGUGGACCUUGGAACCUCAGGGACUCCAUCCCCCG
rnacentral:lncRNA from 1 species